rnacentral:rRNA from 1 species
GAUGAACGCUGGCGGCGUGCCUAAUGCAUGCCAGUCGAGCGAACGGACGAGAAGCUUGCUUCUCUGAUGUUAGCGGCGGACGGGUGAGUAACACGUGGAUAACCUACCUAUAAGACUGGGAUAACUUCGGGAAACCGGAGCUAAUACCGGAUAAUAUUUUGAACCGCAUGGUUCAAAAGUGAAAGACGGUCUUGCUGUCACUUAUAGAUGGAUCCGCGCUGCAUUAGCUAGUUGGUAAGGUAACGGCUUACCAAGGCAACGAUGCAUAGCCGACCUGAGAGGGUGAUCGGCCACGCUGGAACUGAGACACGGUCCAGACUCCUACGGGAGGCAGCAGUAGGGAAUCUUCCGCAAUGGGCGAAAGCCUGACGGAGCAACGCCGCGUGAGUGAUGAAGGUCUUCGGAUCGUAAAACUCUGUUAUUAGGGAAGAACAUAUGUGUAAGUAACUGUGCACAUCUUGACGGUACCUAAUCAGAAAGCCACGGCUAACUACGUG